GCCCGGAUGGUCUAGUGGUAAGCAAUCCCCAACAACAAUCCCUGCUCUUCUGAUGCUAACUCCCAAGAAAGGUAUGAUUCUCGCUUUGGGAUAAAAAAAUGCGAGAGGUCCCCGGAUCAAACCCGGGUUCGGGCC